AUACCCGCAGCCCAAGUGGUGGUCGAUUUUAUUGAGUCUAAAACGUUCGUAGCCGGUUCAUUAAAUCCUUGGGUAAAUCGGAUGGCUUAACUAUCCGAAUUCCGGGGAGACUGGUGAACUUGGGACCGGGAGAGGCAAGAGGUACUUUUGGGGUAGGGGUAAAAUCCUGUAAUCCUAAAAGGACCACCGGUGGCGAAGGCGUCUUGCUAGAACGGAUCCGACGGUGAGGGACGAAGCCCUGGGUCGCAAACGGGAUUAGAUACCCCGGUAGUCCAGGGUGUAAACGCUGCAGACUUGGUGUUGGGGACCCUUCGGGGGUGUUCAGUGCCGGAGAGAAGUUGUUAAGUCUGCUACUUGGGGAGUACGUCCGCAAGGAUGAAACUCAAAUGAAUUGGCGGGG
rnacentral:rRNA from 1 species